rnacentral:rRNA from 1 species
UGGGGUAUAUUGGACAAUGGGCGAAAGCCUGAUCCAGCCAUGCCGCGUGUGUGAAGAAGGUCUUCGGAUUGUAAAGCACUUUAAGUUGGGAGGAAGGGCAGUAAGCGAAUACCUUGCUGUUUUGACGUUACCGACAGAAUAAGCACCGGCUAACUCUGUGCCAGCAGCCGCGGUAAUACAGAGGGUGCAAGCGUUAAUCGGAAUUACUGGGCGUAAAGCGCGCGUAGGUGGUUCGUUAAGUUGAAUGUGAAAGCCCCGGGCUCAACCUGGGAACUGCAUCCAAAACUGGCGAGCUAGAGUAGGGCAGAGGGUGGUGGAAUUUCCUGUGUAGCGGUGAAAUGCGUAGAUAUAGGAAGGAACACCAGUGGCGAAGGCGACCACCUGGGCUCAUACUGACACUGAGGUGCGAAAGCGUGGGAGCAAACAGG